rnacentral:rRNA from 1 species
AAUGAACGUUGGCGGCGUGGAUUAGGCAUGCAAGUCGAGCGGUAAGGCCCCGCAAGGGGUACACGAGCGGCGUAAGGGACAGUAAUGUGUAGGUACGUACCCCCGGGACUGGGAUAGCUGCGGGAAACUGCAAUUAAUACCAGAUGAUGUCUCCGGACCAAAGGUGUGAUUCCGCCAGGGGAGCUGCCUACAUGCCUAUUAGCUAGUUGGUGGGGUAAUGGCCCACCAAGGCUCAGAUGGGUAGCAGGUGUGAGAGCACGACCUGCGUCACUGGGACUGAGACACUGCCCAGACACCUACGGGUGGCUGCAGUCGAGUAUCUUAGGCAAUGGGCGCAAGCCUGACCGAGCGUCGCCGCGUGCGGGAUGAAGGCCUUCGGGUUGUAAACCGCUGUCAGAGGGGAUGAAAUGCUGGUGGGUUAUCUCAUCAGCUUGACUGAUCCUCAGAGGAAGGGUGGGCUAAGUUCGUGCCAGCAGCCGCCGCAGUAA